GCAAAGUAAUGGGUCGCCAUUAGAGAACUGUGUCUCACAUGCUUCAUUUUGCCCUAUCAAUUUGCUCUAGCUAACCAAAGCUCAUCAUCCCACUCAUUUACUGGGGCCUAAAUGAGUGGAAAAUGAAUGAAAUCCUAAAUGGGACCUCUCUGUAUUUUAGAAGCAAACAAUACAUAUAAAGCACAGGUGGGCUGGUGGUUGAAACUGAAGUUUAAGGUUUCCCCUUCAAGUACAGGUCUUUCUGGAAGAUGGGAUCAAGCAUGUAGGAUUUUAGAAACAUUAUUUAUGAUGGCUGUUGUUG
rnacentral:misc_RNA from 1 species